rnacentral:lncRNA from 1 species
GCGUUCUCAUCCUCAAACUUUAAUGUGUUAUAAUUUUUAGCUCGAACCUUCGGAAUUGUUAUAAUCAAGUUCCACAGUUAAUCCAAUUUAGUUGACUAAAUUUUAACGUAUUGUUAAUAUAAAAGUGAUCUGACAUCUUAAUUAUUGAUACAUCAUCAAUCACAAUACUAAUACAUCAGUUCUAUUUAGUGAUAUAUCCCACAAUCGAGUUUAAUUGACUGAAUUGAGUUAUAGAAUUUAAUUGUAAUAAUUCUAAAAGCUCGAGCUAAAUAUUAUCCAAAAUUAAAGUUUCGGCCUCAUAGUUAGAGGAUCAAAUAUGCAAUUAUCUCUAAGUAUACGUGAUAGUAAUAAAAUACAAAAAUAAAAAGCUAAAUUAUAGAAUACUUUCUUAUAAAUAUUCACUUUUUUACUUUUCUACCAUAACUUUCAAAAACCUAUAUUUUAUCCUCUCAACAUUUCAAAUUGUUACAUUUAGCAGCUCUCCGUCAGAGUUCCAUCACUAUUCCGUCUAUUUUUUAUAAUUUAUGCUGAAAAUAUUUUCAAAAAGACAGAAAUAUAUUAAAAAUUUAUUAUUUUUCUUAUAAAAGAAAUAAGGGUAAUUUGGUUAUUUGCCCUCUCCAUUAAAAAAAUUUAAUUUUUAAAUAUAUUAUUUUUAUAAAAAUUCUGAUAUUUUUAAAUAUGUCUCUUCCAUUAGAAUCCGGUAGAAAAAAUUUAGUCAACUAUAGAUUAAAUACUUAACCGUAGUUAGUUAAUAAAAUAAAUUGAUUUUUUACCCCUCUUGAAAUUUUUAGAAUGAUAUAUUUCUGAUAGCAAAAAGAUAGUUUUACUUAUAAAAUAGAUAAUACUUUAACGGUAACAAACAAAAAGGACAUAUUUAAAAUAUUAAAAUUUUUAUAGACACAAUAAAUAAAACUAAAAUUUUGUAGAGCUAUAUUUAUAAUUUUCUAUAUUUAUACGGACAUGUAUAAAAUUAAUCUAAAA